rnacentral:tRNA from 1 species
GUGGGUAUAGCUCAGUGGUAGAGUGUAUGCUUAGCAUGCACAAGGUCUUGGGUUCAAUCCUCAGUACCUCCA